UUUGGAAUCAGCUGGGGAGGCCAUGGCUUUAGGGCCAAUAGGAUGUCACCUUCAGUAGGGGUGGAGCCAAGUUUUGGAACGAAAGAAAGGGUGUGUUUUCGUGGGAACUGGGAAGUUUUGAUCCCUGUCCUGAGAAAUUUCAGGCUUAUUUCAUUUCAUGUGCACCAACCCAUAGGAUCUCAUUCCUGCUGCCGCUCUCUUUGAGAUUGUUCCUGCCCUGCCCACAGUGCUUCCGGCCACCAUUUUCCAAGCUGAAUGCCGACAACCUAAUUUACGACAGUGCUUUGGGAACAAGUGUGCUGUUCAAAACCAAGGUUGAAAAUCAAGAGUUUUGGCUCGGCGAACGCUUCGUCUUAAGGCAAUCAGGGGAAAAGUACAAGCAUUUUGGGGAAUGGAUAGAAUUGUGCUGAACAGCUUGAUCAGCUCAACGUGGAAAUUUGAGCGUGUUGCCGAAAUUCUUUUCAUGUUUUGUGGGAAGAAAUACGUGAAAGUCACAACAAUUUGAAAUUUGAUAAGAGAAAAAAAAUCAAAGGAAAUACAGAGCAAAAAAAAAAAAUCAAGAAACACUGUGUCCACCAAAAUAUUAAAACAGCAUAAGAUUCCUUCCGUAUGUGUGAAAGCCAGAUGAAGGGAAUACGCAACAGAUUUACCAAAUAUGAGUAAUAAUUUUGGUUUUGUACAUUGAAUUGAUUCUCUAAGAAGGAAUAGGUUACCUAAGGGGUCAAAGAUAAUCCUCUUUUGUGGCAAGGAGAGAAC
rnacentral:lncRNA from 1 species